CUGCGUAGGCAAGGGAGUAGAGACUUGUGCACAGAGUUUGUUUUUUUCUCAGACUUGUAUCUUCGAAGUGGACCUGAGGGGUGCCGUGACGCGGCGACAGAGGGGCUUCCGGCUUCGAAUCCCUACCUCCCCGCAUGGGAUGAGGCGCUGGUCCGCCGUGGGUCGCGCAGGCGGGGGUGACCGGCGAGGCGGAGCGUCCGCUGCCCCCUGCUCCGGCGCCGACUUCAGCUUAAUAGUUUUUCCUCGACACAGAGUACGUUAAGUUUCCUAAAUGUCCGGUACAGUCUUCUAAGACGAUUUUGCAACGAUCUCGUCCACUGACCGACCCUCCACUUUUUACUCCCACUGUAAGACUUCAACGUGUCCCGUACCUUCCACUUCUCGAAACGCUUUCCCGAACUCAAGAAAGUCGAACAACGACGACAACGCCUCCUUCUUCCCAGAGGAAAGAAAACGAGACAAGAAGCCUAAGUGCAACAGAGCAACAAGUCUUAAGUCAAAAAAUUUACAGGGGACAAGAGUGGCGUAACCUUAAAUUGUUAUAGUAACCGUGUAUGCCUGGUGUCGUUCAGCUACGUGACGAAUGAUGAGGGAUAGAUAGUUUUGUGUUCUGCGAAAAACUAUGUUUCCUUCAUAGUUUUUUGCAGAAUAUAAAACUAUGCCUACCUCAUAAUAGUUUCUCCUCAAUAAGUGAAGGACAGGAUGUCAGGAUUUAGGGGUGACAUUAUAAAUUGUUAUAGUAAACCGUGUAUGUCCGGCGUUGUUCAUUUACGACGAUUGAUAAUAUAUACAAGUCAUACGGUCAUAGAAGUGAAGAAGUGUCACUAUAAUUAACAAACACAACAAUUGACCUGAGGUGUAUUAUCUGUCGUAUCGAUGGGUCGGGAGUGGUUUGGACCGUGGAGGAUUUGACAAUACAAUAGUUGCCUGCUGAGGUUCGAAAGUCUUCUAUAUAAAGGGGAGUAUAUAGGUACCACAGUAUUAGUUUGAUGAAAACAAGUUUGAAACGAUGGAAUACACAACGUAAACCAUAACGUCAAUAUAAAUCGUACUACUCUCCGGCAUAAAGAUGUAAAGAUUUGCUUUUAUGGGGACUUUAACCGGUUCUCUAAAACAUAAAGUGGGUCUUAGGUUGUUUAAAGAACCGUGAAAAAAAAACAAAGUCAUUGUUAGAACCGUUUAAUACAAAUUUUGAAAUUUACCUAUACGAAAAGGUCCAGUGGUGGGUCUAGAAGUAGAACAACCAACCUUAUUACACUUUUAACUACACACCUGAGUGAGUCAGUCAUCCGCGAACUACGGAUAGUCGUCAACCGGUAACAGUACUAUUUUGAAUAAAAGCAAAUCCCUUUAGGUUAGUUGAAUUUACUUGUUCUUGCUCGGUAUGUUAUGCCUCACUUUUAUCACCAAAUUGUCUAUUACUAAAGUAGGAACGACGUUUCUAGUUACUUGAGUUCGAUCCUCCGGAAAACUCGUUCUUUUUUAGAUGACGGGUCCUCAUCGAGAGCACUUAGUUUUCUAUAUAAAAACAUAAAACACUGUUAACGUAUACGGUGAGGUUUUCGUCCUAAGCAGGUCAUAUAUAAGACCCUAUUUACUACCAAACCGCUACGAUAACCAAGAAGUACUCUUCAAGUUCCUCCUAAACUAUAAUAAAAUAACAAUUACUCAGUACGGUCAUUCGAAAGACAUAAACAAGCGGCACUCCUCGUUACCCCGUAACGUGUGAAUGGAUACAUAUGACGAUGGACUAAUAGCAACCAGAAAACAUAUUUCCGGAACGAUAGUAAUACAUACCAGGAAGAAGGGAUUACACAUAAUACUUACCAGAAAACUGGACACCUUACAUAAGGAUUAGGACUAGAUAUCUUGACGGAAAGACUUGAACUAUAGAGUCAACAUGAUCUGUUACGAAUAAACCGGUUUACGAGUACCCAAGUC
rnacentral:rRNA from 1 species